rnacentral:rRNA from 1 species
GUCGGCGUGCUUAACACAUGCAAGUCGAACGGAAAGGCCCUGCUUUUGUGGGGUGCUCGAGUGGCGAACGGGUGAGUAACACGUGAGUAACCUGCCCUUGACUUUGGGAUAACUUCAGGAAACUGGGGCUAAUACCGGGUAGGAGCUCCUGCUGCAUGGUGGGGGUUGGAAAGUUUCGGCGGUUGGGGAUGGACUCGCGGCUUAUCAGCUUGUUGGUGGGGUAGUGGCUUACCAAGGCUUUGACGGGUAGCCGGCCUGAGAGGGUGACCGGCCACAUUGGGACUGAGAUACGGCCCAGACUCCUACGGGAGGCAGCAGUGGGGAAUAUUGCACAAUGGGCGGAAGCCUGAUGCAGCAACGCCGCGUGCGGGAUGACGGCCUUCGGGUUGUAAACCGCUUUCGCCUGUGACGAAGCGUGAGUGACGGUAAUGGGUAAAGAAGCACCGGCUAACUACGUGCCAGCAGCCGCGGUGAUACGUAGGGUGCGAGCGUUGUCCGGAUUUAUUGGGCGUAAAGGGCUCGUAGGUGGUUGAUCGCGUCGGAAGUGUAAUCUUGGGGCUUAACCCUGAGCGUGCUUUCGAUACGGGUUGACUUGAGGAAGGUAGGGGAGAAUGGAAUUCCUGGUGGAGCGGUGGAAUGCGCAGAUAUCAGGAGGAACACCAGUGGCGAAGGCGGUUCUCUGGGCCUUUCCUGACGCUGAGGAGCGAAAGCGUGGGGAGCGAACAGGCUUAGAUACCCUGGUAGUCCACGCUGUAAACGGUGGGUACUAGGUGUGGGGUCCAUUCCACGGGUUCCGUGCCGUAGCUAACGCUUUAAGUACCCCGCCUGGGGAGUACGGCCGCAAGGCUAAAACUCAAAGGAAUUGACGGGGCCCCGCACAAGCGGCGGAGCAUGCGGAUUAAUUCGAUGCAACGCGUAGAACCUUACCUGGGUUUGACAUGGAUCGGGAGUGCUCAGAGAUGGGUGUGCCUCUUUUGGGGUCGGUUCACAGGUGGUGCAUGGCUGUCGUCAGCUCGUGUCGUGAGAUGUUGGGUUAAGUCCCGCAACGAGCGCAACCCUUGUUCACUGUUGCCAGCACGUUAUGGUGGGGACUCAGUGGAGACCGCCGGGGUCAACUCGGAGGAAGGUGGGGAUGACGUCAAGUCAUCAUGCCCCUUAUGUCCAGGGCUUCACGCAUGCUACAAUGGCUGGUACAGAGAGUGGCGAGCCUGUGAGGGUGAGCGAAUCUCGGAAAGCCGGUCUCAGUUCGGAUUGGGGUCUGCAACUCGACCUCAUGAAGUCGGAGUCGCUAGUAAUCGCAGAUCAGCAACGCUGCGGUGAAUACGUUCCCGGGGCUUGUACACACCGCCCGUCAAGUCAUGAAAGUUGGUAACACCCGAAGCCGGUGGCCUAACCGUUGUGGGGGAGCCGUCGAAGGUGGGACUGGUGAUUAGGAC